CAUUAAAUUGAAACAAUAGGACAAAUUCUGUUCCCAGCAAUCUUUUACAAAUGAAAAAUUAAAUGUGUGGAUUUAUUCCUGUCUUUGCAACAGGGACACGUACACAGCUUGAACAGAUGCAAAGCAAACUUUAUGCAGUUUAUCUACUUGAUUGCCCUAAUUUUUCAAAUACCUUGUACCUAGAACAAGUAAAAGUGGCUUUCCUGGAAAGCACAGUUCAAGUGCACUAGUUUGUCAUUCCGAAGGAUAACCAUCAACCUCUAUACACAGCAGUGCUAGGUAGAUCUGCACUACUUCUGAAGAGACAUUCUGUGGCCUAGAUGUAAAUGUACAAAAGGAAAAUACCCAAACCCUGCUAAUGGUCCAUUCAGCCCACACUGCUAUGGAAUAUUUCACACAUUAAUGAAAUAUGCUCCUGCCUCUGAGCCAAUGCCAGCACGGAAGAGCAAUGCCUUCUAGGAUGUUCAUACCUAGUGUGGUUCAUAUCCCUGCAAGGACCUUGAGACUGGGAGAAGAUAACAAGAACAAGGAUUGUUCCUGGGGCUUUAAAAUAAGUAGGAUUACAAAUGUUGGUCAUUUUUGGUGA
rnacentral:lncRNA from 1 species